GUCCUCCUGUGACGUCAUCACGCCGCAGAAUUCCGAACGUUUUCGAGUUGGGAAGACUUGGAAGUUCACCUGAGACCAUCCAAAGACGCGGCGGGAUGUCUGCUAAAGUUGGACUCCGGGAAAAGGAGAGUCUCCUGAUGAUGCAGGAGCUGGAGGACCGAGUCAAGGAGCAGCUGGACAAGCUGGAACACGUCCGCCUCGCGGUCGCAGAAGUUCGAGACAACAUCUCCGGGUCCUUGCAGAACAACGCGGCAGAACUGAAGCAGUCGAUAACAGGCCACCUGGGCCGGCUCGGUCUCCUGGCGGAACGUGUGGACGCCCUUCAGAUGAACACAUCUGUCUUCGUGCAGAUGAACACUAAACCCCGUACCUGGAGUGGACAGCAGGGGUUUCGCCACUCGCCACGCGUGCAGUCUUCAGAGGACGCGCAGUCCGAGUGCGGGUGGUACCCGACGUACAGACGACGCAACAGCGAUGCCGCCUCUGAGAUGUCCUGUGCCUGGUAGCCCCUAAGAAGCCAAACCGAUGUUUUUUUUUGUUGUUGUUUUUGUUCACUUGCUUUAUGCAAUCUGAACUGGGUGCUAAACAUUCAGAUUAUUAUUACAUAUUAUUUUAAACAACCCAGAAUGGUCUGUUCUGAUGAGAUGCUUACAUCUGUACAACAGAGACAAAGUACACAGCAACUUUUAACCCCAGGUAUGUUCCGUUAAUUCAGACAUAAACAAGUAAAAUGACAUUUGUUGAUCUUUGUUUUCAUACCUCCAUGCAUGUUAAAAAGAGC
rnacentral:lncRNA from 1 species